GUGGGGAAGAGCCACCUGUAUGCCUAGCUUAAAGAGAAAGCGUAAAGAUGAACCCUUUCCUUGCCUCAAGACAACAACUGUAAGAAAAAGGCCAGACAAAGCAGAAGCAGCUAAACUUCCAUUUCCACCCAAACUGCAACCAAGUAAUGUUUUUUACUUUCUUUUUACAAAUACCACAGCAAAUAAAGCACCA